GCAGAUUCAGAACAGAAAUUGACUGGAGCCAACAUUUCACUGGACCAAGUCUACCCUAUAUCGCUUCAGUGUACAAUUUCAGAAAUUCACAAUACGAUACUCCAACAGAGAAUUAAUAAGAAUCGAAACGCUAAGAUUGAGCCCUUAGGCUUGCACAACAUUUACGUUACUGUCACGAGGAAGAUGGGCAAGAGAGGCUGGCUUCAGGUGGCAAAUGUUAAGCAAAAGAAACACACAAGGGCGUGGAGACCUGGGGAAAAAGCAGCACUAAGCAAAAGAAAGUGCUUGUCCUUUCUGGGUCCACAUUCUAUACAGAAUGCGAAUAUUACAAAAAGUUAAUCUACAUCCAUUUUAAAGUUAGAAUUAUAAGUCAGUUUUAAAGCUGGAAUUAUAGAACCUUUGGGGAGAACAUUGGCCAUAGUUUUAUAAGACUAAUAUUGCUUUUUGUUGUUUUGUUUUUUUAAAUUGCUUUUCUCUUUUGUACUUACAAUACGUACGUUAAUCUUCUCAGAGCCUGUCACGGUCACAUUUUAAGCGAAGGAGUAAAACAAUCCAGAUCACUCGGCGGACCACAAGUGAAUUAAUCCAGUGUUCCCACAGAUAGUUGGGGUAUUUUCAUCCCAGUGUUACCAAUUAGAGGAAGGACUCAUUUAAGUGCAAGCAGCAUGUGGAGUUCUUUUUUUUAUUAUUAUUUCAAGUAAAUUGUUUCAUUAAAAACCUCAUGAAGGAGGCGGCUUCCUGUGUUUGUACAGAGAAAAGUGCCAGGAAUAGAUAAAUAAGUCAGCAGAGCCCCAAUUAACAUACUUCGCUAUCUCGUCUCCCACCUACACAGAAGAAUCUGCCUUUUCACAUCUCUUCCUUCCUGCUCUCUCCCUCCUGCCGCCAUUGCUUCCCAUCAGGGAGAAAAAGACCAGAGAACAAGUUUCAGUUCACUCUCUUGGAACACCUCCCCAGAGACCGCUCUGACUUUGACUAUUAUGCACGUCAAUGUUAUUCAGCAACACCUGCUGGGCAUCACGUUGGGGGCGAUAUUUAAAUAUUAUGCCUACCAGCUCUGUUUUUUUAAAUAGUAUCUUUUAAAGUCAGUGGCUGUGUUUGUGACAGAUUCUACAAGGCAUGGACCAUGCACUGAAAAAUCAUUUUCUCCUCUAGAGGUUUAAUAGUUCCAAAAAUGACUUUACAUCAGUAAAAAAAGUUUGCCUUUCUUCAGCGCUUCCCCCACGUAUAACUGAGUUAAUGAGUGUUCCUUGCUCGCAGCUAUCUUUCCAAAGGCAGGCGCCAAAGAGAGAAAAACAUUCGUCAGGGAAACUUUAAGUAAGAGAAUAAGCCAAUCCAUUGAAAACUCAGUGAUGGGUUCAGGAUGACUGAAGUUGAACAGCAGAAGCAGCCAGGGCUGGGGGCCAUUAUGAUGACUAUUAAUAGAAGUAAGCUUACCUCUAAUAGCUCUGUGAUCAUUUUUCGGUCUAUAGCACCCAAACUCCCUCCAUUAAAAAUUCUAUGCAAUUGAGCAUGCAAUGAAUUUUGUUUUAAUACACUGUUCUGUAGAGCAUGGUUCUGAGCCAUUCUUUUUUAGGUAAUUCUGGAAACUACAUUCAAAAAAGGAAAAAAUCUAAAUUAGAAAAUAUGAUCAGAAAAUACUGACUUGUGUACAAUAUUCUUUGAAUCCAAACGAUCCCAGAGCGCAUCAUAAAACAGUUAAAUGAGUAUGAAAAUUUAUGUAGGAAGACAGAUUGGUAUCUCCUCACUGUAAAAGGGAAAAUGACUCAUCCCCACAAGGGUAAGCUAGCAUCCUGAUACGUUUUUCAAAUGCUAUAAAGUUAACUUAUUUCUAGUCCAACUGUCUCCAAAAGCAGCAGCUAUGGUAGCCGUACUGCAGAUGAGGAAGAAUGAGAUAGCUGGGUAAGACCAGGGGCUGAAGUCUUGUCACUAAUUACCCAGAACUGGUCUGACUUAGUUUGAUAUAUUAAAUUCUCACUAUACCCCAUCUUUUACUUCCUAGGUCCACUGUCCUCUCUGCUUUCCUGGAAACUUUUCAAACCCAUCCUGCCUUCAUUUUCUAUACUAAUUAUCCAGACUCUAUCAACCAUCCGUUUGUUCACAUUGUCAAUAUCCCCAAACCCCUUGAGUCAUUGUUCUUUCUUCCACCUGACUAAGAUUCUAGUCAUUAAUAAAUUAAUGAGAGAUGCUAGAAUCA
rnacentral:lncRNA from 1 species